rnacentral:rRNA from 1 species
AUUGAACGCUGGCGGCAUGCCUUACACAUGCAAGUCGAACGGUAACGGGCCUUCGGGUGCCGACGAGCGGCGAACGGGUGAGUAAUACAUCGGAACGUGCCCGAUCGUGGGGGAUAACGAGGCGAAAGCUUUGCUAAUACCGCAUACGAUCUACGGAUGAAAGCAGGGGACCGCAAGGCCUUGCGCGGACGGAGCGGCCGAUGGCAGAUUAGGUAGUUGGUGGGAUAAAAGCUUACCAAGCCGACGAUCUGUAGCUGGUCUGAGAGGAUGAUCAGCCACACUGGGACUGAGACACGGCCCAGACUCCUACGGGAGGCAGCAGUGGGGAAUUUUGGACAAUGGGCGCAAGCCUGAUCCAGCCAUGCCGCGUGCAGGAUGAAGGCCUUCGGGUUGUAAACUGCUUUUGUACGGAACGAAAAGCCUUCUUUUAAUACAGGAGGGUCAUGACGGUACCGUAAGAAUAAGCACCGACUAACUACGUG